CGGAAAUACGGUCGUAUUUUCUCGAUCCCGGUCAUGUCUAGCCCGGGAAGCAACAACCGAGCGGUUGCCCGUUCCGCCUUUCCACCGCUCGAUCGAAGAUGACAAGAUCCGUCAGGAAUUCAGGCUACAGAUGUCACGUUGUGAUGUAGCUUGCCGGCAAGCCCAUACUUGUCUUGUUCAUACUUCAUAGCAUCGCAGGCCUAUUUAAGGAUGCAAGCAGCAUCACAGCUAAAUUCCCUCCUGAGCUCCGCUAACACUAUCGAAGCUUCACAAAUUCUGUUCACGCACUUGUAGCUGUUGCCUCUCGUCUCCAAGUGUUGGAGGCAAAGGCGUACUUCGAUCCGCAGGCAGGACCGAGGGCAUGGGUUCCAAAGAUGCAUUCUUUUGCACCUUCUGCUCCUUGCUUCUUUUUUGUUUCAGUUCCAAAUGCCUAUCUUCAGAGCUGGACCUGCCUCAGACAGCACUAGUAGAGGUUGAUGCUUCAUGGGAGGUUUCACGAAAGAUCCCUGACACACUAUUUGGAUUAUUUUUUGAGGAAAUUAACCAUGCUGGAGCUGGUGGGAUAUGGGCGGAGCUUGUCAGUAACAGAAGAUUUGAAUCUGGAGGGCCCCACACCCCUUCUAACAUCGAUCCAUGGUCUAUCAUUGGAGAUGAAUCCUCUAUAUACAUCACAACUGAUCGCUCAUCUUGUUUCAGCAAAAAUAGUGUCGCUCUAAGGAUGGAGAUUCUCUGUGAGAAUUGUCCAGCUGGCGGUGUUGGCAUUUACAACCCAGGAUUCUGGGGCAUGAACAUAGAAGAAGGAAAGACCUAUAAUCUAGUCAUGUAUAUCAGAUCAUUAGAAUCUGUGGAGUUGACAGCUUCUCUCACAUGUUCAGAUGGAAUGCAAAAUCUGGCAUCAGUCUCUAUACAAGAGAUUGAUCCGUCAAAUUGGACAAAGAUAGAGAUGCAAUUAUUGGCUCAAGGAACAUGCAGAACUUCAAGACUUGAAUUAACAAGUAUGAAAAGGGGAGUAAUUUGGUUUGAUCAAGUGUCACUCAUGCCAUCAGACACAUACAAGGGCCAUGGUUUUCGUAAGGAGCUAAUAUACAUGCUUUUGGAAUUAAGGCCACAGUUUCUACGCUUUCCUGGUAUUUCUUAUGGGGGGUGCUUUGUUGAAGGUGAUUGGUUAAGAAAUGCUUUCAGGUGGAGAGAAACUAUUGGUCCAUGGGAACAGAGACCUGGGCACUUUGGAGAUGUUUAGAAUUAUUGGACCGAUGAUGGCCUAGGAUAUUAUGAGUUUCUCCAGCUUGCUGAAGACCUGGGUGCUGCCCCUAUUUGGGUGUUCAAUGUUGGGAUCAGCCACCAUGAUGAAGUUGAUACCAUCAUAAUUGAACCUUUUGUUAAGGAUGUAUUGGAUAGUCUUGAAUUUGCAAGGGGAAGCGCAGAAUCAACAUGGGGCUCUGUUAGAUCUGCAAUGGGGCAUCCCGAACGGUUCCCACUGAAGUAUGUUGCUAUUGGAAAUGAAGAUUGUGGGAAGGAAUUUUACCGAGGAAAUUACCUCAAGUUUUAUGAUGCUAUACGCAAGGCCUAUCCAGACAUUCAAAUGAUUUCAAACUGUGAUGGAUCAUCUAGGCCGCUUGACCAUCCUGCUGAUUUGUACGAUUUUCAUGUAUAUACCAGUGCUGCUAAUCUUUUUAUCAUGAAGAAUAAGUUUGACAGGACAUCACGCAUUGGGCCUAAGGUAUUUGUCAGUGAGUACGCUGUCAAUGAACAAAGGGAUGCUGGUAAAGGAAGCCUUCUUGCUUCACUGGCUGAGGCUGCUUUCCUUACUGGGUUGGAGAAAAAUAGUGAUGUUGUUCAGAUGGCAAGUUAUGCACCACUCUUCGUAAAUGACAAUGACAGCACCUGGAACCCAGAUGCAAUUGUGUUCAAUUCCUGGCAGCAGUAUGGCACUCCUAGUUAUUGGGUGCAGACAUAUUUCCGUGAAUCAAGUGGUUCUGUGAUUCAUCCGAUUACGAUCAGUUCCAGAUAUUCUGAUUCAUUGGCUGCUUCUGCAAUCACCUGGCAAGACUCUGAGGAUAUCUUUCUGAGAGUAAAGAUAGUAAACUUUGGGCCAAAUGCUGUGAACCUCACAAUAUCUUCAAGAGGACUUCAAGAUGGCGUCAACACUGCAAAAUCAACUGUGACUGUUCUCACAUCCGGCAACUUUCUGGAUGAAAAUUCAUUUAGUGAACCAAACAAGGUCGUGCCGGUUGAAAGCGAGCUGCCAAAUGCUGCAGAGGUGAUGGAAGCAGUGCUCCCUCCUUUUUCAUUCACUUCGUUUGACCUCGCUCUGGAUCAAUACAGCAAGCUCGUAGCAGAGAUGUGAAGCAAUGAUGCAUAGUUUCAACAGAGAAACAGGAUGUUUACAUGAGAUGUGAUGCCUGAAUUUCAGAAACACUUGGUGUGAUCCUGCUGUUUAUGACGCUGCAAGCAUAGUUUAAGGUUUGUCACGUUAUUGAACCUAGGGGUAACGCUAAUUAAUAUCCUUGUCAAUAAGCUAUCCCCUUGAUCACUGAACUCUGGUUACUCAGAGCUUGAAUGGAUUCUCAGUUAAUCUGGAUAAGCAAACAGAAGGGAAAAUGUAGGGUUGAUGAGAAAUGGUCCUGCAUGUUUA